AGAUUGUCUAUGAAUUUCCCCUUCCAGGUCCUUUUCAGGGGGUCAGUGGGCUUGGACUCUUGAACAUCCUCGUCCACCUGAACAGGUGCAUGUUAGCUGACGGAUAAGGAAGCUGAGGCCCAGAGAAGUAAAGAAGCUCACCCGAGGUCCCAUCGUCCACAAGAGGAGGAGUUGGGAUUUGCACAGAGGUCUUCUGGUGCUGGAAUCUGAGGUUUUGACCAUUAUUCUAUGUUGCCUCCCGAGGGCAAACUGGCAGAGGAAGUCUGCUGAGGAAAAGUUCUUGGUGGAAGUUCCCACUCCUGAAAACAAAAUGUUUCUCCUUCACCGUCUUCACAGCUGGCCGAGGGAGAGGCAUAGAAAGAGCCCAGGGGAUACAGGUAUACUUCUAGUUUCUUGUGUUUAUUGUCCAGAUACUUGUGUUCAAAUUGCUCACAUGCUCUUUACC
rnacentral:lncRNA from 1 species